rnacentral:rRNA from 1 species
UACGGGGGGGGCAAGCGUUGUUCGGAAUUACUGGGCGUAAAGGGCUCGCAGGCGGCCAACUAAGUCGGACGUGAAAUCCCCAGGCUCAACCUGGGAACUGCGUCCGAUACUGGAUGGCUUGAAUUCGGGAGAGGGAUGCAGAAUUCCAGGUGUGGCGGUGAAAUGCGUAGAUAUCUGGAGGAAUACCGGUGGCGAAGGCGGCCUUCUGGACGGUGACUGACGCUGAGACGCGAAAGCGUGGGGAGCAAACAGG